AGAACACAGCCUAGUUGUUGCUAGCAGAGCCCAUCCAAUCUAAAACACCGACGUCACACUUUGUGACGUAAAACAAGAGUUUCUAUUUGACAACUUCAGGCAGGCCCCUCCCCGUUCCAUAUGCUUCCAGUCCCCCCGGGUCAGUACCGGUCCAGUCCCCCGGGGUCAGUACCGGUCCAGUCAGUACCGGUCCAGUCAGUACCGGUCCAGUCCCCCAGGGUCAGUACCGGUCCAGUCAGUACCGGUCCAGUCAGUACCGGUCCAGUCCCCCAGGGUCAGUACCGGUCCAGUCAGUAACGGUCCAGUCCCCCCGGGUCAGUACCGGUCCAGUCAGUACCGGUCCAGUCAGUAACGGUCCAGUCCCCCGGGUCAGUACCUGUCCAGUCAGUACCGGUCCAGUCCCCCAGGGUCAGUACCGGUCCAGUCAGUAACGGUCCAGUCAGUAACGGUCCAGUCCCCCGGGUCAGUACCUGUCCAGUCAGUACCGGUCCAGUCCCCCGGUCAGUACCGGUCCAGUCAGUAACGGUCCAGUCCCCCCGGGUCAGUACCUGUCCAGUCAGUAACGGUCCAGUCCCCCAGGGUCAGUACCUGUCCAGUCAGUAACGGUCCAGUCCCCCAGGGUCAGUACCGGUCCAGUCAGUACCGGUCCAGUCAGUAACGGUCCAGUCAGUACCGGUCCAGUCCCCCAGGGUCAGUACCGGUCCAGUCAGUAACGGUCCAGUCCCCCAGGGUCAGUACCGGUCCAGUCCCCCGGGGUCAGUACCGGUCCAGUCAGUAACGGUCCAGUCCCCCAGGGUCAGUACCGGUCCAGUCAGUACCGGCCCAGUCCCCCGGGGUCAGUACCGGUCCAGUCAGUACCGGCCCAGUCCCCCAGGGUCAGUACUGGCCCAGUCCCCCAGGGUCAGUACCGGUCCAGUCAGUACCGGCCCAGUCCCCCAGGGUCAGUACUGGCCCAGUCCCCCCGGGUCAGUACCGGUCCAGUCAGUACCGGCCCAGUCCCCCCGGGUCAGUACCGGUCCAGUCAGUACCGGCCCAGUCCCCCCGGGUCAGUACCGGUCCAGUCAGUACCGGCCCAGUCCCUCCGGGUCAAUAACGGUCCA